rnacentral:rRNA from 1 species
UACGGAAGGGGCGAGCGUUGUUCGGAAUCAUUGGGCGUAAAGGGCGCGUAGGCGGCUGUUCAAGUCGGGGGUGAAAUCCCGUGGCUCAACCACGGAAUGGCCUUCGAUACUGGACGGCUGGAGACCGGAAGAGGUGAGUGGAACUGCGAGUGUAGAGGUGAAAUUCGUAGAUAUUCGCAAGAACACCAGUGGCGAAGGCGGCUCACUGGCCCGGUACUGACGCUGAGGCACGAAAGCGUGGGGAGCAAACAGG